CUACGGGGUGCUGCAGUGAGGAAUUUUGCGCAAUGGGCGAAAGCCUGACGCAGCAACGCCGCGUGAGUGAUGAAGGCCUUCGGGUCGUAAAGCUCUGUCAAGUGGGAAGAACCUAUGUAAUGUUAAUAUCAUUAUAUACUGACGGUACCACUGAAGGAAGCACCGGCUAACUCCGUGCCAGCAGCCGCGGUAAUACGGGGGGUGCAAGCGUGAUUCGGAAUCAUUGGGCGUAAAGGGCACGUAGGCGGCCUGGUAAGUCAGAUGUGAGAGCCCGGGGCUUAACCCCGGAAGUGCAUUUGAUACUGUCAGGCUUGAGUAUGGGAGAGGGAAGUGGAAUUCCUGGUGUAGAGGUGAUAUUCGUAGAUAUCAGGAGGAACACCGGUGGCGAAGGCGACUUCCUGGACCAAUACUGACGCUGAGGUGCGAAGGCGUGGGUAGCAAACAGGAUUAGAUACCCGUGUAGUC
rnacentral:rRNA from 1 species